UACGGAGGGUGCGAGCGUUAAUCGGAAUUACUGGGCGUAAAGCGCACGUAGGCGGUUGGGUAAGUCGGAUGUGAAAGCCCUGGGCUUAACCUGGGAACUGCAUUCGAUACUGCUCGGCUAGAGUAUGGGAGAGGGAAGCGGAAUUUCCGGUGUAGCGGUGAAAUGCGUAGAUAUCGGAAGGAACACCAAUGGCGAAGGCAGCUUCCUGGCCCAAUACUGACGAUCAGGCGCGAAAGAGUGGGGAUCAAACAGG
rnacentral:rRNA from 1 species